UUCCGUAGGUGAACCUGCGGAAGGAUCAUCG
rnacentral:rRNA from 2 species